GGUUGGCUUGCACCUGGCAGGCAGCUAUGCAAGCUGUUGCUAGGUAGCUCUUGGGUGGAGCCUAGCAGAAUUAUCCCUAAGCCAACGGCGCAGGCUUUUGUAAAUUAACAAUGUGCAAUAAAUUCCCUGGGUGAAGCUUAGCCAAGGACAGAGAGAAACUUGGCUUUUCUGCCCUCAAUCUAGCUGCUGGGUUUGCCCCUGACCCACAGCAGUGUGACCUAUCAGGGGUCUCAGAAACCCUGGGGACUGCAGCCACCUCUCAUGGGAUCCAGCCAACUUCAUGGGCACCUGGCAGAGGGUAACAAGACGAGUAUGUAGCCACCUGUAUAGCUACUGCGUCUAGACCGGCUUAUUCUCACUGAACAGCCGGGGGGCUGGUAGCUGUCCUGAGAAGACAACGGACAGAUCCAUGGAAAUGCUUAAAUCUCAAGGCUGCCGAAGCAGGGUGGGGGAUUAACUUUGGAAAUGUUGCUAUGUAAAUGGUUUAAAUGAACAGUGCCUUUGGAGCAGCCUCUGCUGAUCGAUCUGUUUAACCAAAGGAGAGAAGAAAAAUUGGUGACUGAAGCCAAAAUUCUUACUUGGCACCAGCACAGAAGAGCCUGCAACAGACAAGCCGGUUUGUCAGAAACCCCAGGGAUUUCCGACUUACCUUUGUCCAGAAAUGUCCUCUGCCUCUAUCUACCUGUCUGUCUCUGUGUCGUUUUAGUUUUUUUUUUUUUUCUUUUUCAACUCUAGUGUUACCUCUUUCCUCUCUCAAACAGAAGCAUUUGACAUUAUUUUGGGCGGUCAUAUAACAACUGAGAACAGUUGCUUUUUUUUUUUUUUUCCUACAGAUACGUAUUACUCUGAUCUACCUAUAGAUGUCACUGUUCAUUUAUGAUAAAUCAUCCCCGGAGCUCAGGCAAUUACCUCGGCUAAAAUAACAAGCGUGUUUUCUGGAAAUAAAAUAACCAGCAAGUACCGAGAGAGAGAGGCAUUUUCUCUCGCAGGUGUCUCCAAAUCAAAGCUGAGUCCCUCUGGGCAAUUCACUCUGCAAGGGAGGCAAGUCGGCUUGCAGUUUGUACUGCGCCAUGGCCAGGGAGCCUUGGAUUCUCCCUGUCAUUCUCCUGAUGGCCAGGAAAAAAUAAGCUGGUAUGUAUUCCGGCGAAUGCAGGAAAUUAUCACUAGAAAGUAGCUUUAACAGAACGGAUUAGGAAAGUGAUGACCUUUUGGCAAGGACCUGUAAAUGUGGUCAAGAAAUGGGUGCACUCUGCUAGAAGAAAGCAUCCUCCUACAUUGCCUUCAAGAGCAGUUCCUCAGAAUCAACACCAGUAAAAUUCAAAACCAGAGAAGGACUCAGCAUUGCUGUCCACCAGUCUCUUCCAGAUAAAGGUCUCACUGUGUGCUCCACUGCUCUCCAAUUCUGCUUCAGCCCCCAAGGGCUGGGAUCGCAGGUAUGCACUGCUGUUUCCUUCUGCACCAAGUAGACUUCAAUCACUAAUAAUUUUCAUGUUAAUUAGGAAAACCAUUAGUAUUUAGAAACUUGCAUCUUUCAAGAAAUAAAUUUUUUUUUUUGUUUUUAUAACCGAGUUAC
ensembl:lncRNA